ACUGGAGGAAGGUGGGGAUGACGUCAAGUCAUCAUGGCCCUUACGGCCAGGGCUACACACGUGCUACAAUGGUCGGUACAAAGGGUUGCCAAGCCGCGAGGUGGAGCUAAUCCCAUAAAACCGAUCGUAGUCCGGAUCGCAGUCUGCAACUCGACUGCGUGAAGUCGGAAUCGCUAGUAAUCGUGAAUCAGAAUGUCACGGUGAAUACGUUCCCGGGCCUUGUACACACCGCCCGUCACACCAUGGGAGUGGGUUGCUCCAGAAGUAGCUAGUCUAACCGCAAGGGGGACGGUUACCACGGAGUGAUCAUGACUGGGGUGAAGUCGAAGACAUAUGAG
rnacentral:rRNA from 1 species